rnacentral:rRNA from 1 species
AUUGAACGCUGGCGGCAGGCCUAACACAUGCAAGUCGAACGAGUGGCGGACGGGUGAGUAAUGUCUGGGAAACUGCCCGAUGGAGGGGGAUAACUACUGGAAACGGUAGCUAAUACCGCAUACCAUCGGAUGUGCCCAGAUGGGAUUAGUGAGUAGGUGGGGUAACUGCUCACCUAGGCGACGAUCCCUAGCUGGUCUGAGAGGAUGACCAGCCACACUGGAACGGAGACACGGUCCAGACGCCGACGGGAGGCAGCAGUGGGGAAUAGUGCACAAUGGUCGCAAGCCUGAUGCAGCCAUGCCGCGUGUGUGAAGAAGGCCUUCGGGUUGUAAAGCACUUUCAGCGGGGAGGCGUUACCCGCAGAAGAAGCACCGGCUAACGCCGUGCCAGCAGCCGCGGUAAUUC